UCUCAUAAUUACACGCUACCGACACGCGAGAUAGUUCCUAUAAUUAUCGAUUGGCACGAGUGCGACACGCGGAGAGAUUGAAGAAAACAUGCGUUCCCUUAAAAGAAUCAUAUUUUAUUUUAGUUCAUAGCUUUACGUAUCAGCCGUAUUCGAAUAAUGUAUCGAACUGCAUCGAGUUUCCGCGGUUAGAAUAGGAUUACUAACUUCGCAAAAUGAACGUAUAAUGUAAAAUUCAAGCAGUUGAACGGAUAUACUUAUUCAAAUAUAUUUAACCUCGUUGCAUUGUAAUGAAUUCGCGACAAUGAAUUCGCGAUAAUGAAUUCGCGCGGUAGUCAUUUAACGGAAGUCAUCAUAGUUCUCCGAGACUGACAUCUCAAUCACUCGAUAAAACCCAUAAAAAAUUCAAAUUCUACAGGAUGAGAACGAACUAUAGUUGUGCUGCACUAUAAUUUACACAAAUUGGACUACGUACUUGUUCUCAAAGUGAUAACAUACAAGAUGAAUUUUUACACUUGUUUUUUUCUUAAUAAAGUGAAAGUGAUCAAAACAUGAUAUAUAGAUAAUACAAAAGGAAAAUAUUUGCUUAAAAUUACGUGAUUCUUGAAAACAUAUAAAUCUUACUUCAUCCAA